UUCUUCUGCAAAGUUGUAGAGAAUUGAAUUUCCAAUAAAAAUUCGCAAGAUUCGAAUUUUCUGAUGAAAGAGCUAUUUAUUAUGAAUUAUUGAAGUUCCGUAGUUCCAAAAUAAUUGAUUUUUGGAAGUUUUAAAUAUUUAUAAUUACAAAAACGUUUUUGGUCAUAUAAUUGGGUCUUGCAUGUGAUGUAAAUGGCUGAUUUCAGAUCUAAGAGUGGGC
rnacentral:lncRNA from 1 species